UGCAAGGUUAAGCAGUAAAUGUGGAGCCGUAGCGAAAGCGAGUCUGAAUAGGGCGUUUAGUAUUUGGUCGUAGACCCGAAACCAGGUGAUCUACCCUUGGUCAGGUUGAAGUUCAGGUAACACUGAAUGGAGGACCGAACCGACUUACGUUGAAAAGUGAGCGGAUGAACUGAGGGUAGCGGAGAAAUUCCAAUCGAACCUGGAGAUAGCUGGUUCUCUCCGAAAUAGCUUUAGGGCUAGCCUCAAGUGAUGAUUAUUGGAGGUAGAGCACUGUUUGGACGAGGGGCCCCUCUCGGGUUACCGAAUUCAGACAAACUCCGAAUGCCAAUUAAUUUAACUUGGGAGUCAGAACAUGGGUGAUAAGGUCCGUGUUCGAAAGGGAAACAGCCCAGACCACCAGCUAAGGUCCCAAAAUAUAUGUUAAGUGGAAAAGGAUGUGGCGUUGCCCAGACAACUAGGAUGUUGGCUUAGAAGCAGCCAUCAUUUAAAGAGUGCGUAAUAGCUCACUAGUCGAGUGACACUGCGCCGAAAAUGUACCGGGGCUAAACAUAUUACCGAAGCUGUGGAUUGUCCUUUGGACAAUGGUAGGAGAGCGUUCUAAGGGCGUUGAAGCAUGAUCGUAAGGACAUGUGGAGCGCUUAGAAGUGAGAAUGCCGGUGUGAGUAGCGAAAGACGGGUGAGAAUCCCGUCCACCGAUUGACUAAGGUUUCCAGAGGAAGGCUCGUCCGCUCUGGGUUAGUCGGGUCCUAAGCUGAGGCCGACAGGCGUAGGCGAUGGAUAACAGGUUGAUAUUCCUGUACCACCUAUAAUCGUUUUAAUCGAUGGGGGGACGCAGUAGGAUAGGCGAAGCGUGCGAUUGGAUUGCACGUCUAAGCAGUAAGGCUGAGUAUUAGGCAAAUCCGGUACUCGUUAAGGCUGAGC
rnacentral:rRNA from 1 species